UUGAAUAAUACUUGACUUAAAAAUAUCUUAAAAGUAAAAUUAAAUGUAACUUAGAGGCAUUUGCUGCUGCUGAUGUUGUAAAAUGUGACAAGAAAUGUUGCCUGCUUGGAGAAGAGCUACAAAGAAAUAAUUUAGUUUAAUCAUUUUAUAACUCUGUUACUACAGAGGAGGGCUGAGCUGGCAGUUAAAAAACUACAAUGAUGGAGGAACUCUGACUGACUACAGAAGGAGGCUGAAUGUUAGAACUACAAACACGGCAGAAUGUUUUGGGCAUUAUAGAUCUGAUUUAACCCAACCACUGUUACACAUGGGAUUAGUUUAGCUCUUUAAAAUG